GGCGCACGGGUGAGUAAUAUAUAGAUAAUGUGCCUCUUAGUCUGGGAUAGCCAUUGGAAACGAUGAUUAAUACUAGAUACUCCUUCUAAGCAUAUGCUUGGUUGGGAAAGUUUUUCGCUAAGAGAUCAGUCUAUAUCGCAUCAGUUAGUUGGUGGGGUAAAGGCCUACCAAGACAACGACGCGUAGCGGGUUUGAGAGGAUGAUCCGCCACACUGGUACUGAGACACGGACCAGACUCCUACGGGAGGCAGCAGUGAGGAAUAUUGCACAAUGGGGGAAACCCUGAUGCAGCAACGCCGCGUGGAGGAUGACGCAUUUCGGUGUGUAAACUCCUUUUAUGAGUCAAGAAAAUGACGGUAGCUCAUGAAUAAGCACCGGCUAACUCCGUGCCAGCAGCCGCGGUAAUACGGAGGGUGCAAGCGUUACUCGGGAUCACUGGGCGUAAAGGACGC
rnacentral:rRNA from 1 species